rnacentral:lncRNA from 1 species
CCUGGUCAUCCCUACUGCCUCUGAUCUGGAGGACUCACUAAACAGAGAACAUCCCUGGUUAUCCCUACUGCCUCUGAUCUGGUGGACUCACUAAACAGAGAACAUCCCUGGUCAUCCCUACUGCCUCUGAUCUGGAGGACUCACUAAACAGAGAACAUCCCUGGUUAUCCCUACUGCCUCUGAUCUGGUGGACUCACUAAACAGAGAACAUCCCUGGUCCUCCCUACUGCCUCUGAUCUGGAGGACUCACUAAACAGAGAACAUCCCUGGUCAUCCCUACUGCCUCUGAUCUGGAGGACUCACUAAACAGAGAACAUCCCUGGUCGUCCCUACUGCCUCUGAUCUGGAGGACUCACUAAACAGAGAACAUCCCUGGUCAUCCCUACUGCCUCUGAUCUGGUGGACUCACUAAACAGAGAACAUCCCUGGUCAUCCCUACUGCCUCUGAUCUGGAAGACUCACUAAACAGAGAACAUCCCUGGUCAUCCCUACUGCCUCUGAUCUGGUGGACUCACUAAACAGAGAACAUCCCUGGUCAUCCCUACUGCCUCUGAUCUGGAGGACUCACUAAACAGAGAACAUCCUUGGUCAUCCCUACUGCCUCUGAUCUGGAGGACUCACUAAACAGAGAACAUCCCUGGUUAUCCCUACUGCCUCUGAUCUGGUGGACUCACUAAACAGAGAACAUCCCUGGUCAUCCCUACUGCCUCUGAUCUGGAGGACUCACUAAACAGAGAACAUCCCUGGUCAUCCCUACUGCCUCUGAUCUGGAGGACUCACUAAACAGAGAACAUCCCUGGUCGUCCCUACUGCCUCUGAUCUGGAGGACUCACUAAACAGAGAACAUCCCUGGUUAUCCCUACUGCCUCUGAUCUGGUGGACUCACUAAACAGAGAACAUCCCUGGUCAUCCCUACUGCCUCUGAUCUGGAAGACUCACUAAACAGAGAACAUCCCUGGUCAUCCCUACAGCCUCUGAUCUGGAGGACUCACUAAAUAGAGAACAUCCCUGGUUAUCCCUACUGCCUCUGAUCUGGUGGACUCACUAAACAGAGAACAUCCCUGGUCAUCCCUACUGCCUCUGAUCUGGAGGACUCACUAAACAGAGAACAUCCUUGGUCAUCCCUACUGCCUCUGAUCUGGAGGACUCACUAAACAGAGAACAUCCCUGGUUAUCCCUACUGCCUCUGAUCUGGUGGACUCACUAAACAGAGUACAUCCCUGGUCAUCCCUACUGCCUCUGAUCUGGAGGACUCACUAAACAGAGAACAUCCUUGGUCCUCCCUACUGCCUCUGAUCUGGAGUGUACCCCUGGCUAUCCAUAAAUAAAAUAAAAACAAGAAAAUGGUGCUUUUCUGCUUAAUAGAAGGAAUUUGAAAAAAACAUAUAUUUUUUUUAACUUUUGAUACUUAAGGAUAUUUUUAUAAAUGUACUUUUGAUACUUCAGUAUAUUUAAAACCAAAAUACCUUUAGACUUUUACUCAAGUAGUAUUUUACUAGGUGACUCACUUUUACUUGAGUCAUUUUCUAUGUAUCUUUUGUAUCUUUAGUACUUUUUCCACCAUUGAGUUUGUUUUUAUUAUAUUUGAGUACGCGAGUUAGUUUUAAAAAAAGGGUCUAUGCAGGUAGUUUGGGUAUUUAGCAGGCAGUCUUAUGCCUUGGAUGUCACAUCCUGACCAGUAAUAGGGGAUAUUUGUUAUUGUAGUUUGGUCAGGACGUGGCAGAGGGUAUUUGUUAUUGUAGUUUGGUCAGGACGUGGCAGAGGGGUAUUUGUUAUUGUAGUUUGGUCAGGACGUGGCAGAGGGGUAUUUGUUAUUGUAGUUUGGUCAGGACGUGGCAGAGGGGUAUUUGUUAUUGUAGUUUGGUCAGGACGUGGCAGAGGGGUUAUUUGUUAUUGUAGUUUGGUCAGGACGUGGCAGAGGGGUAUUUGUUAUUGUAGUUUGGUCAGGACGUGGCAGAGGGGUAUUUGUUAUUGUAGUUUGGUCAGGACGUGGCAGAGGGGUAUUUGUUAUUGUAGUUUGGUCAGGACGUGGCAGAGGGGUAUUUGUUAUUGUAGUUUGGUCAGGACGUGGCAGAGGGGUAUUUGUUUUAUGUGGUUUGGUCAGGACGUGGCAGAGGGGUAUUUGUUAUUGUAGUUUGGUCAGGACGUGGCAGAGGGUUAUUUGUUAUUGUAGUUUGGUCAGGACGUGGCAGAGGGGGUAUUUGUUAUUGUAGUUUGGUCAGGACGUGGCAGAGGGGUUAUUUGUUAUUGUAGUUUGGUCAGGACGUGGCAGAGGGUGUUUGUAUUGUAGUUUGGUCAGGACGUGGCAGAGGGUAUUUGUUUUAUGUGGUUCGGGGUGGUGGUUUGUUUAGAAGGGUGUUUGAUUUAUUAUUUCCGGGUUUUGGGUAAUGUUCUAUGUUCUCUCUAGUUUAGUAUUUCUAUGUCUAGGUAAUUGGGUGUUGGACUCUCAAUUGGAGGCAGGUGUUUUUAGUUGUCUCUGAUUGAGAGUCCUAUAUAUAGGUAUGUGUUGGUAUUAGUGUUUGGUGGGAGAUUGUUUCUGUGUGUAGCUCCAAGCCUUACAGGACUGUUAUUCGUCGUUGUUUCUUUGUUGUUGUGUACGUGUUUAUUUUUGGUUUCACCUUCUUCUUCGCCAACUAAUUAAAAAAAGAAGAUGAGUGCACAUUUCCCCGCUGCGUCUUGGUCCGCUUUAUCCGACGACAACCGUUACAUUACAUACGGUCCUGUUGGUUCCGGACUCGGUGUAAUGGUUCCUCCUGCCGUUCAGUAGCAGAGAGAACAAUCUAUGACUUGGGGUGGCUGGAGUCUUUGACAAUUUUUUUGGGGGGGGCUUCCUCUGACACCGCCUGGUAUCGAGGUCCUGGAUGGCAGGGAGUUCGGCCCCAUGUGAUGUCCUGGGCCGUACUCACCAACUGCCUUGCGGUGAAGCAGCCAGUGAAGAUGCCCUCAAUGCUGUAUAACUUUUUGAGGAUCUGAGGGCCAAUGCCAAGUCUUUUCGGCCUCCGCUUGUCGUGCCCUCUUCACAAUUGUGUGGACCAUUUGAAUGACUUAGUGAUGACACCGAGGAAAGCCCGUUCCACUACAGCCCCUUUGAUGUGGAUGAAGGUGUGCUCGCACCUCUGUUUCCUAUAGUCCACGAUCAUCUCCUUUGUCUUGCUGACGUUGAGGGAGAGGUUGUUGUCCUGGCACAACACUGCCAGGUCUCUGACCUCCUCCGUGUUCACUGCCGCUCUCUAUAAGGACAUGGGAUUUUGUUCUGUUAUAAAUAUAAAUCCCAAACAGUUUAACUUCAGUUUACUCUGACAGUUGAACUUUCCUAUUCAGAAGAGACUUAACAUUCCCAAAUCUUUCACUGUUGUUUCUUUAACCAGUCAGUCCUCUACCCUAUAUUCCCUAGGUUUAUUACGGGUGCUAGCUACAAAACUCACCACUGUGUUUUAUAUCAAAAGGUGAGUUGGACCUCGCUGUCCGUGAGACGAGAACAACACGCUCUCGUGUUUGUCUAUAAAGCACUUCUGAAUAAACUACCUUCUUAUUUAUCAUCACUCAUCAAUAUUAGAAUUAUAAUUCAUGAAACCAGGUCUCAAGCAUGGAAAAGGAGACAGCAUGAAUAUCAUAUGAGCAGAUUUACUGUAUUACCUCAAUUAGCCAGGAAAUCCCUAGUUUGAAAGCAACUGUUUUUCUGUAUGCUGUGCUGCU